UCCUGGCGGACAAGUCCAAAAUAGGACGAAAUGCGCAUCCUGGAU
rnacentral:hammerhead_ribozyme from 1 species